GCAGUUGCCUCUCUCUUACUUUCAGUCGAGCAACCAAAUGCCUCUCUGUCACCUCGAACAGCUUAAGCUCCAAGGUUAAUUGUAAUUGCCAUUUGCGAAGAUUCUGCCACAGAGCUUAGAGAAUGUGGUCGCUUCUGCUCUUAUUCGCUGCCCAUGCAGGUCCUUUGGCAGCUGAUGACACUCUCUAUAUUUCGCCCAUAUCUCUGAGUCGUUGGGAAAAUGAAACAGUGACGUUGAAUUGUUUCACCACCAGGACUGUGGAUAAUUAUUACCUCAUCUGGGGAUCCGCCAAGCCGGGGGAUCUCAUGAUCUCGUGGAUUCUUUACUGGACGCCAGGAUCGAGCAUUGCUCUUUACCCGUCCGUGGUAAGCGAUCGCUUCAUUGGCUCCAAAGACUGGACCAGCCAGAAGUUCUCACUGACAAUAAAAGGCCUCCAACAGGAGGACUCAGCCAGAUAUUACUGUGGCAGCUCCAACACUUACUUCCCAUUCAGCACAGACUGGAGCGGAUGUGGAGUCACGCUCACUGUAAAAGCCGCUCCCUCAGCAUCUCCUCCAUUGGUUUAUUUCCAAAACCCACACCCUGAGGAUAUCUUUCUCCAAAAGAACAUCUCGCUGCUCUGCGUGGGAGAAAACUUUUAUCCAGAUGACCUCUCCUUCUCCUGGCGUGUCGAUGGGGACCAGGUUCACAGGGGAAUCUCGCAGUCUGCUUCACUGUUAGGAGACAACGGCACUUACACUGCCAUCAGUAAGCUGGUGAUCGAUACAUCCCAGUGGGUCAAAGGAUCGAUUAUCAGCUGCCAAGUAUCCCAUGGGGCACUGCCUUCACCCAUCACCAAGCACAUAAGUAAUGCUGAGCGGUACCCCAUGGAGCCGAUGCUGUAUCUCCUGUCACCAACCUUACAGGAGCUCAUCACAAAGCAGACGGCAACCCUGGUCUGCCUAGCAACCGGCUUCUACCCAGCGGAGAUCUCUUUCCGCUGGUUCAUCAACAGCAAUCCGGUGGUCGACAACAUCAAGAGCUACCCGCCCGUUCUCAAUAUAAACGGCACCUACUCCUCCCAGAGUGAGCUGACCACAUCCGAGCAGAUGUGGAAUCAGGGCGCACUUUUCUCGUGUGAGAUUCAGCAUGUCUCAGUUCCAGACAGCAUCAUCCAAACCAUCAAUAAAACCCGGGAAUUUAUUUUCCUCCAACCGACGGUAACUCCCAUCAAGGUUCAGACCAGUGACUCCCGGCGGCCACAUACUGUGACGUUGGCGUGUUUUAUAUCAGGGUUCUACCCCGCUGGAAUCUACGUGAACUGGAGAACGGAGAGGGGUUUGCAAGUUCCGGGCAGUGUGACCAACUUCCCAGUAGUGAGGGAUGUGAGUGGCACCUACAGUACAGUCAGUCAGAUGACCAUUGCCUUGGUGGAUGUGGACCGCACUCAGACGUACAUGUGUGAGGUCAGACAUGAGUCUCUCACCAGCCCGUUAAAGAAACGGUUCCAGAUAAGUUGAUGUUCCUACCAACGAUUGACCCAAUCAUCUGAAAUCUUCAAAUGCCCUCACCAACGAAACACUGAAGUGACAUUCCUCAUCAGACGGAGUGAGAGCUAUUUCAUUCUCUUACCCACUCAUGGUGAUUUGAAACUAUUAAUAGUAAAAAAAGAAUAUUUCCCCUUUAACUAAAUGUUAAAUAAAACAGACAAUCUUAGGUAAUGAAUAACUGAUCUCUAAGGAUUGUGAAUUCACCUUAGAGCUGUUGCAAGCAUUAAAUAAUAAAAAUAAUUAC